CACGGUUGGAGUUCCAUUUUUAUUCCAAAAACAGAAAGCAACCGGAAAAUCACUGGCCAAGCUCGGCCAGCAAAGUCAGGACUUAUGCACAACCCCCAAAACUUGCUGGCAGUUACAAGGACUUGUGCAGGAAAUCCAGGCUGACGCUCCGGUGAAGUACAGAGAAGGUGUUGCAUUGUCAACCAAUACAUCUGCUGUCCCAGCUGGAGGUCAUAAAGUAAUUGGAAGCAUCAGCAAGAAUAGCUGACUUGUAAUUGCCAGAAUGGACAACCCUUCCGCUGACUGCAUUGGAGUGUGUGGCCAUGGGACACCGGGUGGAUACCAAGAGAGCUGCAAAAUCUGGUCCAUAGUUGAAUUGAAGCUGAACCCAUCGAUGUUCUAGGUACUGCACUAUC